AAACUGCAGUAAGCAGGGAACGGAUCAUGAAAAUCGACUGUGCGCAAAGAAAGCUUGCCAGGUUGUUUCCCACACCAAGACGAUUAGUUUCAUCGUUGCUGCCACAUUUGUGAUUGUCGUCGUAAUCCUAAGCUAUCUUUACAUUCGUCGCAAACGACGUGGAAAAAGAGGAAUUCCGUUUUACGCUAUUGUGAAAUUUUCUUCUCAACAAAUCCUUGGUCAACAUCAGCCUCGCGAAAACGGCGAACUACUUCCCUGUAUAAGUCUUGUUCCUUCUAAUGAAAGGGCGAGUACGUCACAAGAGACUGGUACUGGUGUUGUUUAU